rnacentral:rRNA from 1 species
UAUUGCACAAUGGGGGAAACCCUGAUGCAGCGACGCCGCGUGGGCGAAGAAGUAUUUCGGUAUGUAAAGCCCUAUCAGCAGGGAAGAAGAAAUGACGGUACCUGAGUAAGAAGCACCGGCGAAAUACGUGCCAGCAGCCGCGGUAAUACGUAUGGUGCAAGCGUUAUCCGGAUUUACUGGGUGUAAAGGGAGCGCAGGCGGCACGGCAAGCCUGAUGUGAAAGCCCGCGGCCCAACCGCGGGACUGCAUUGGGAACUACCGGGCUGGAGUGCCGGAGAGGUAGGCGGAAUUCCUGGUGUAGCGGUGAAAUGCGUAGAUAUCAGGAGGAACACCGGUGGCGAAGGCGGCCUGCUGGACUGCGACUGACGUUGAGGCCCGAAAGCGUGGGGAGCAAACAGG